AUAACGUUUUGAAAAGAACGCUAAUACCGCAUAACGUACCGGAAGGGCAUCCUUCCGGUACCAAAGGAGCAAUCCGCUGUAAGAUGGGCUCGCGUCCGAUUAGCCAGUUGGCGGGGUAACGGCCCACCAAAGCGACGAUCGGUAGCCGGACUGAGAGGUUGAUCGGCCACAUUGGGACUGAGACACGGCCCAGACUCCUACGGGAGGCAGCAGUGGGGGAUAUUGCACAAUGGGGGAAACCCUGAUGCAGCGACGCCGCGUGAGGGAAGAAGGUUUUCGGAUUGUAAACCUCUGUCUUCGGUGACGAAAAUGACGGUAGCCGAGGAGGAAGCCACGGCUAACUACGUGCCAGCAGCCGCGGUAAUACGUAGGUGGCAAGCGUUGUCCGGAAUUACUGGGUGUAAAGGGAGCGUAGGCGGGGAUACAAGUUGAAUGUUAAAACUAUGGGCUCAACCCAUAGUUGCGUUCAAAACUGUAUUUCUUGAGUGAAGUAGAGGUAAGCGGAAUUCCUAGUGUAGCGGUGAAAUGCGUAAAUAUUAGGAGGAACACCAGUGGCGAAGGCGGCUUACUGGGCUUUAACUGACGCUGAGGCUCGAAAGCGUGGGUAGCAAACAGGAUUAGAUACCCUGGUAGUCCACGCUGUAAAC
rnacentral:rRNA from 1 species